UGAUUAGCUAGUUGGUAGGGUAAUGGCCUACCAAGGCUACGAUCAGUAGCUGGUCUGAGAGGAUGGCCAGCCACACUGGGACUGAGACACGGCCCAGACUCCUACGGGAGGCAGCAGGGGGGAAUAUUGGACAAUGGGCGAAAGCCUGAUCCAGCAACGCCGCGUGAGGGAUGACUGCCUUCGGGUUGUAAACCUCUUUCACCUGUGACGAAGCGAAAGUGACGGUAGCAGUAGAAGAAGCACCGGCCAACUACGUGCCAGCAGCCGCGGUAAUACGUAGGGUGCGAGCGUUGUCCGGAAUUAUUGGGCGCAAAGGGCUCGUAGGCGGUUUGUUGCGUCGGGAGUGAAAACUCAGGGCUUAACCCUGAGCCUGCUUCCGAUACGGGGCAGACUAGAGGUAUGCAGGGGAGAACGGGAAUUCCUGGUGUAGCGGUGAAAUGCGCAGAUAUCAGGAGGAACACCGGUGGCGAAGGCGGUUCUCUGGGGCAUUACCUGACGCUGAGGAGCGAAAGUGUGGGGAGCGAACAGGAUUAGAUACCCUGGGUAGUCCACACCGUAAACGUUGGGCACUAGUGUGGGGCCAGUUCCACUGGUUCUGUGCCGCAGCUAACGCAUUAAGUGCCCCGCCUGGGGAGUACGGCCGCAGGGCUAAAACUCAAAUGAAUUGACG
rnacentral:rRNA from 1 species